rnacentral:rRNA from 1 species
GUGGCGAACGGGUGAGUAACGCGUAGACAACUUGCCUUUAAGACGAGGAUAACGGCUGGAAACGGCUGCUAAUACUGGAUAGGAUAAAGAGUCGCAUGACUUUUUAUUUAAAGGCGCGCGCGCGCCGCUUAAAGAGAGGUCUACGUCGCAUUAGCUAGUUGGUGGGGUAACGGCUCACCGAGGCGACGAUGCGUAGCUGUGCUGAGAGGCAGAACAGCCACACUGGGACUGAGACACGGCCCAGACUCCUACGGGAGGCAGCAGUAGGGAAUUUUCGGCAAUGGGGGCAACCCUGACUGAGCAAUGCCGCGUGAACGACGAAGGUCUUCGGAUCGUAAAGUUCUGUGAUUGGGGAAGAACAGCAUGAUCAGGAAAUGGGUCAUGUUUGACGGUACCCGAUUAGAAAGCCCCGGCUAACUAUGUGCCAGCAGCCGCGGUAAAACAUAGGGGGCGAGCGUUAUCCGGAAUUAUUGGGCGUAAAGAGUACGUAGGCGGCCUGUUAAGUCUGAUGUGAAAUCCCGCG